rnacentral:lncRNA from 1 species
UUUUGUUUCCAGUUGUGACUCUCGGACACGAAAAAAAACCGUGUUUUUCCUUUUUCCAGAGGGGCAGAUUUGCUUCCACGAGAGGCACGGUCGUGUGCCUAAAAACAACAAAAUAAUACAUUUUUUUCUUUUCUUGAGAGGCAUGAUUUUUUACUUGCGCAAGAGGAACAUAUUUGCUUCACUGUUUUUCCUUACUCCAAAUUAUACCUAGCCAAAACUUCGGUUGGGUCGGGCCUAAAAAUCCACGCUACAAAACUCAAGCCCAGACCCGGCCCAAACCAACCGUCU